CUUUAUCUAGUGUUAGCGAGGAUUGAAUGUUGGCGUGUAAAGAAGGCAAAAAGCAAGAAGCCUUUCGGGCUGAAGUCAAACCAGGCUUGAUGGUGAUGAACCCAGCAGAGACAUCAGCAGUCAGGCCUUUUCUUGGGACUUGCUACCAGUAAUUCAGACGGCUGUUAUUUCAACAGUGGCUCAUCUACUCCAUCCAGCUCAGCCACUUGAAGUUUUGGCUAAGAUGGGUCAAAGAGUACCCCACAUCUUUCUCCAUGCUGUUGUACUGCAUGUGGCUGGACCACAGUGGUGAAGACUUCUCUUUACAUGACAAGUCUUAAUUGUGGUGUAACUCCCAUGGUGGAUCCCAAGCUUCAGCAGCAUUUGAAAAAAGGGGUUUGAAAUUGUGUAAUUUUCAGCCUUGUUUGUCUUUUCAAUAAAGCUAUUACAAUGUAAA